AUUGAAAGCAUGCUGAAAUUGUUUAAAUUCAGAAAUUAAAAGAGUACAAAAUUGGUUUAAAAAUUAAUUUAAGUAACAGGUAUGGUUGAGGGAUUAUUUAUAGUUCUAAUUAUAAUUAUUUCUUUUGAAUAGAGUUGUUAUCAGAUUCAAAGAUUGAAGAAGAUAAUUUUUCUUCACAUUUUAUUGAUGAACAGAAUAAAACCAAGCAAAGUUCACAUUGUCAAAGAGUUUCAAGUUUUAAUAUGAGUAUUUUUGGUUUUUACACCACUGAAUGUUAAUGUAGAGAGAUGCAAAAUGUUAUUCUCAACAAGCUUGCAGAAAUAAAAGUUCUUUUAAAAGAAGUUAUAGAAAUAAGUUUCAGGCUACUGGGGUGAAGUUGCUAGAAUCAGUGGACGAAGUGGUUACACUGGAUAAUAAACUAAAAGAUAAAACCGAGUAUACUAAUUUGCUUGAUAGUUUGAAAAAGAUUGGUGGUGGAAAGCCAAGAGAACAUGUUUUUUUGAUCAUGAAAAGUUACAGUCCAAAUUUAAUCGAAAAGGAAAUGAGGAAAAGAUAAGCAUAGAAAAUCUAGUAAAUAUAUGGAGUGUUUUACGAGAUAUUGGCGACGUGGAAGAAAAUGUUGACGGCAAUGAAGAAAUAUAGUUUUUUAUGUAUAUUUUUGUGAAAUAAAAAUUAAGUAAUGUUAGUUAAAA
rnacentral:lncRNA from 1 species